UCGNACGCUUCUUUUCUCCCGAGUGCUUGCNCUCNNUUGGAAAGAGGAGUGGCGGACGGGUGAGUAACACGUGGGUAACCUNCCCAUCAGAGGGGGAUAACACUUGGAAACAGGUGCUAAUACCGCAUAACAGUUUAUGCCGCAUGGNNUANNANUGAAAGGCGCUUUCGGGUGUCGCUGAUGGAUGGACCCGCGGUGCAUUAGCUAGUUGGUGAGGUAACGGCUCACCAAGGCCACGAUGCAUAGCCGACCUGAGAGGGUGAUCGGCCACACUGGGACUGAGACACGGCCCANACUCCUACGGGAGGCAGCAGUAGGGAAUCUUCGGCAAUGGACGAAAGUCUGACCGAGCAACGCCGCGUGAGUGAAGAAGGUUUUCGGAUCGUAAAACUCUGUUGUUAGAGAAGAACAAGGA
rnacentral:rRNA from 1 species